AGCGCAGGCGGGAAGACAAGUUGGAAGUGAAAUCUAUGGGCUCAACCCAUAAACUGCUUUCAAAACUGUUUUUCUUGAGUAGUGCAGAGGUAGGCGGAAUUCCCGGUGUAGCGGUGGAAUGCGUGGAUAUCGGGAGGAACACCAGUGGCGAAGGCGGCCUACUGGGCACCAACUGACGCUGAGGCUCGAAAGUGUGGGUAGCAAACA
rnacentral:rRNA from 1 species